AGUAUCAUAACCAAUGAAGUUAAUCUGAGGUAUGAUUAUUGCUAGUUGAAAACUUCAUUUGUGCC
rnacentral:snRNA from 1 species